CUCGUCGAUGAAAACAAAGUCUGGAAAGAGCUGAGUCGGAUAAAAAAUGCCGACUUGCAGGACACCAACGAGUUGGAACUCUCCCGGGAAGCCAUGACCCCGAUUGUGGCCAAUGGCGAAGGUGAAAGAGCAGCUGGAUGCCUCACAGAUGACGAUGCGAUCGACCAUCUUCUCUGCACCGUGCUAAAGAGCACCAAGUUGUGUUCACAUCGGCGCCGCAGCCACGGCCUCAUGUGGCGGACGACUUCCACGCCAUAGAGGGCGUGCCAGCAGUGCAGUUUAAGGAACUAAAGGCAAAGGUGAACAAGCUGCUGACGUGGGGGGCCGCGUUCACAGUGUUUGCGCAGUCGUUCAACCGCCCAGCCAUCCGUCUGGCCGGCUACCUGAUGUGUGCCGUGAUCCUGAAGACCGAUGUGUCGCCGCCCCCAAAGCAGUGGGCGGCGAUGACCGGCUGCGUUUAGGAGUGCACGGGGAGGGACAUGAGGCAGCACUUUAGGGACUUUCUGUCUCUUUUUGUGUUUGUGUUUCUGCCGGGUAGUUUUGCAAAGAAAUGGCGUUAACGCUUUUUCAUGCGUGUAGGCCAA
rnacentral:lncRNA from 1 species